GUACGGGGGGGUAAGCGUUGUUCGGAAUUACUGGGCGUAAAGGGCUCGUAGGCGGCCAACUAAGUCAGACGUGAAAUCCCUCAGCUUAACUGGGGAACUGCGUCUGAUACUGGAUGGCUUGGAUUUGGGAGAGGGAUGCGGAAUUCCAGGUGUAGCGGUGAAAUGCGUAGAUAUCUGGAGGAACACCGGUGGCGAAGGCGGGUCUCUGGGCAGUAACUGACGCUGAGGAGCGAAAGCGUGGGGAGCGAACAGG
rnacentral:rRNA from 1 species